GGGCCAUCGUCAAACAGGGCUGUUUGCUGAAACAGGGUCACAGGCGGAAGAACUGGAAAGUCAGAAAGUUUAUUCUGAGAGACGAUCCUGCUUAUAUCCAUUACUAUGAUCCCACCAAACCAAGAGACAAGAGGUGGAUGGCAAUCUCUUUGAGAUCAUCACGUCAGAUGAGAUACACUACUACC